GACAGAGGGUGCAAACGUUGUUCGGAAUUACUGGGCGUAAAGCGCACGUAGGCGGCUUUGUAAGUUAGAGGUGAAAGCCCGGGGCUCAACUCCGGAAUUGCCUUUAAGACUGCAUCGCUCGAAUCAUGGAGAGGUGAGUGGAAUUCCGAGUGUAGAGGUGAAAUUCGUAGAUAUUCGCAAGAACACCAGUGGCGAAGGCGGCUCACUGGCCCGAUACUGACGCUGAGGCACGAAAGCGUGGGGAGCAAACAGG
rnacentral:rRNA from 1 species